GCAAAGAACGGGACAUGGGAACAUGCGCCAAUGCCAUACGGAGUGCAUAUAUAGUACAGAAAACAAUUAUCGGCACUGCCUCUGCGCACCUUCCAGCACAACAGGGAGAGCACUGAUGUUUGUAGGUAUUUUCCCGCCAUUUCCUAUGCACGAAGAGCACAGAACGGUCCGGAACGCCUUCCGAAAGUGGAAUGGCUUUCGAAAUCUGACCUCGGGAAACACUGAGGGGGAAGGGGGCAAACUAAACCAGGCGAACUACAUCUGACCAAAAGACAUAAGUCUCAGAGAAGACAAGUAACGCUCAGGAUUCUUAUUCUAAAGAUGGUGGCUGUGCCGUCAACCUCUGUUGCCGGUCACGUACUUGCUGCUACUGCUACAAUUUCUACAAUUACCUUUCCUGGGCUAACAAGACUAGAAGUAGCAAAUGAAACAUGAGGUGGACAGGAAGGAGGACCUCCGAAAUUUGGGCUCAGAAAACUGCUCUACCUCUUUUCUAUUUUCAGUGAAAAAAAAGAAAAGAAAAGAGAGAGAGGGAUACUCCUUUUGAGGUCAAAUAACCACGCAUAGUGAGUGAUGCCCUUAAUUCUGCAGGUGGACUGGUACAGGAAGGACUUCCGCAAUGUAGCCUCUGAAAGCAACAAUCUUCUCUGAAGUGUCACUCAAAAAAUAAAAUGCUCCUAUUAAGAUGUAAUUA